rnacentral:rRNA from 1 species
CCAAUAGCGUAUAUUAGUGUUGUUGCGGUUAAAAAGCUCGUAGUUGAAUUUCGGGAUUGGGAUAUAUCGGUCAUGCCUUUAGGGGCAUGAAUUGGUGUGUAGCCAAUUUCUCACCUUCUGGUGAAUUGGGAUGCUCUUGGGUGUUUCAAUGAACUAGGACUUUUACUUUGAAAAAAUUAUAGUGUUUAAAGCGGGCAUUUUUGCUUGAAUAUAUUAGCAUGGAAUAAUAAAAUAGGACGAUGGUUCUAUUUUGUUGGUUUUAGGACCACGUAAUGAUUAAUAGGGAUAGUUGGGGGCAUUAGUAUUCAAUAGUCAGAGGUGAAAUUCUUGGAUUUAUUGAGGACUAACUACUGCGAAAGCAUUUGCCAAGGAUGUUUUCAUUAAUCAAGAACGAAAGUUAGGGGAUCGAAGACGAUUUAUGUACGUCGUAGUCUUAACCAUAAAUUAUGCCGACUAGGAAUCAGACAAAGUUCAUUUUUUAACGACUUGUUUGGUACCUUACGGGAAACUAAAAGUGUUUGGGUUC